AUUCCAGCUCCAAUAGCGUAUAUUAAAGUUGUUGCGGUUAAAAAGCUCGUAGUUGGAUUUCUGCUGAAACAAACCGGUCCGCCCUCUGGGUGAGCAUCUGGUUUUGUUUUGGCAUAUGCUUAGACUUUGCAGCUGCACUUGACUGUGUGGUGCGAAGGCUGAGCCUUUUACUUUGAGGAAAUCAGAGUGUUUCAAGCAGGCCAUUGCCUUGAAUACACUAGCAUGGAAUAAUAUGAUAUGACUGUGGUUUUAUUUUGUUGGCUUUUAGAAUUAAAGUAAUGGUUAAUAGGGAUAGUUGGGGGCAUUCAUAUUUAACUGUCAGAGGUGAAAUUCUUGGAUUUGUUAAGGAUGAACGACUGCGAAGGCAUUUGCCAAGGAUGCUUUCAUUG
rnacentral:rRNA from 1 species